UACAGAGGUCCCAAGCGUUGUUCGGAUUCACUGGGCGUAAAGGGUGCGCAGGUGGGUUUGCAAGUUCGAUGUGAAAGCCCCGGGCUUAACCCGGGAAUGUCAUUGGAUACUGCAGAUCUGGAGGAUCGGAGGGGGGACUGGAAUUCUUGGUGUAGCAGUGAAAUGCGUAGAUAUCAAGAGGAACACCAGUGGCGAAGGCGAGUCCCUGGACGAUACCUGACACUGAGGCACGAAAGCUAGGGGAGCAAACAGG
rnacentral:rRNA from 1 species